rnacentral:rRNA from 1 species
GGUCUGGCUGGCCGGUCCGCCUCACCGCGUGUACUGGUUCGGCUGGACCUUUCCUUCUGGGGAUCCGCAUGCCCUUCACUGGGUGUGCUGGGGAACCAGGACUUUUACUUUGAAAAAAUUAGAGUGUUUAAAGCAGGCCUACGCUUGAAUACAUUAGCAUGGAAUAAUAGAAUAGGACUU